rnacentral:rRNA from 1 species
AAGUCGAGCGAUUUACUUCGGUAAAGAGCGGCGGACGGGUGAGUAACGCGUGGGUAACCUGCCCUGUACACACGGAUAACAUACCGAAAGGUAUGCUAAUACGAGAUAACAUACUUUUACCGCAUGGUAGAAGUAUCAAAGCUCUGGCGGUACAGGAUGGACCCGCGUCUGAUUAGCUAGUUGGUGAGGUAACGGCUCACCAAGGCGACGAUCAGUAGCCGAUCUGAGAGGGUGAUCGGCCACAUUGGAACUGAGACACGGUCCAAACUCC